UACAUGAAUUAUCAGUAUGUG
rnacentral:piRNA from 1 species